UGUGAGAGCAAGAGCCCGGAGAUGGAUUCUGAGACACGAAUCCAGGCCCUACGGGGUGCAGCAGGCGCGAAAACUUUACAAUGCUGGCAACAGCGAUAAGGGAGCCUCGAGUGCCAGGUUACAAAUCUGGCUGUCGAGAUGCCUAAAAAGCAUUUCAUAGCAAGGGCCGGGCAAGACCGGUGCCAGCCGCCGCGGUAACACCGGCGGCUCGAGUGGUAACCGUUAUUAUUGGGUCUAAAGGGUCUGUAGCCGGCCGGAUAAGUCUCUUGAGAAAUCUGGCAGCUUAACUGUCAGGCUUUCAGGAGAUACUGUCUGGCUCGAGGCCGGGAGAGGUGAGAGGUACUUCAGGGGUAGGGGUGAAAUCUUGUAAUCCUUGAAGGACCACCAGUGGCGAAGGCGUCUCACCAGAACGGACCUGACGGCAAGGGACGAAAGCUAGGGGCACGAACCGGAUUAGAUACCCGGGUAGUCCUAGCCGUAAACGAUACUCGCUAGGUGUCGGCCACGGUGCGACCGUUGUCGGUGCCGUAGGGAAGCCGUGAAGCGAGCC
rnacentral:rRNA from 1 species